UGGCUUAGAGGUAAAGAGCACUGGCUGCUCUUCCAGAGGACCUGGGUUCAAUUCCCAG
rnacentral:tRNA from 1 species